GACGAACGCUGGCGGCGUGCUUAACACAUGCAAGUCGAACGGUAAGGCCCUUCGGGGUACACGAGUGGCGAACGGGUGAGUAACACGUGGGUGGUCUGCCCUGCACUUCGGGAUAAGCCUGGGAAACUGGGUCUAAUACCGGAUAGGACCACUGCCUGCAUGGGUGGUGGUGGAAAGCUUUUGCGGUGUGGGAUGGGCCCGCGGCCUAUCAGCUUGUUGGUGGGGUGCUGGCCUACCAAGGCGACGACGGGUAGCCGGCAUGAGAGGGUGACCGGCCACACUGGGACUGAGAUACGGCCCAGACUCCUACGGGAGGCAGCAGUGGGGAAUAUUGCACAAUGGGCGCAAGCCUGAUGCAGCGACGCCGCGUGAGGGAUGACGGCCUUCGGGUUGUAACCUCUUUCAGCACCGACGAAGCGCAAGUGACGGUAGGUGCAGAAGAAGGACCGGCCAACUACGUGCCAGCAGCCGCGGUAA
rnacentral:rRNA from 1 species